ACGAGAAACCUUACCAACGCGACAGAUCCUUGAGCUAUAAAAUCUCUUGUAUUCAUUGGGAAUUUCCACACUCUGAUGGUCAAGAAGUCUGAUUUAGAGGCAAUCUUUUCAAAGGCAAAAAUCUGGGUUGUUCUGUGCACAGGGGCUUUGCCUUUGUCAAGUGUGUUAAUGAGAGAGAUGCUGUAGCCAGAGAGGAUGACAGAAUGAUUGCUGGCCAGGUUUUAGCUAUUAAUCUGGCUGCAGAGCCAAAAGUAAGUUGAAGGAAACAGGUGUGAAAUGCUCUGCCGCAGGGACGUACGGUUCUUCGCUUGACUUGGGCUGUGACCGCCAAUGGAAUAAUUAUGACAGGAUGUGCAAUUACCCAGCAUGCAUCACUUCUUCUGUUGCUUGUGCUGUGGUGCCUUCUAAAUGUAGUAUAUGUUGGGAAACUGCUCACAAAGCGGCAAAAGUGGAUUCAAUUUGAAGAUUGGACACCUGUGAUCUCAGAGAGUUGAAAGAUGAUCUUCGGGCCAUUAAGAAGGAGUUGACCCAGAUAAAACACACAAAGUGGAUUCUCAUCUGGAAAACCUGGAGAAAAACUGAAGAAGAAAAAAAGCAACCUGGCAGACUUAGCCUUCUCAUUUACGGGAGAGAUGGAGAGUGAAAGGUCUGGAGAAGAGCAGAGCAGCAUCUCUGCACCAAAACGUAAAACUGAUGAGAAGACGGAGUCUAAGGCAGAUGCAUAUGAGUGCUGAGCAGGUGGCCUGCUGGAUGAUGAA
rnacentral:lncRNA from 1 species